UCCGUUUUGUCAACGGCAGUCCCUCUAGAGUGCCCGGCCUCACCGCUGGCAACUAGAGACAAGGGUUGCGCUCGUUGCGGGACUUAACCCAACAUCUCACGACACGAGCUGACGACAGCCAUGCAGCACCUGUCUCCCGGCUCCCGAAGGCACCCCCACGUCUCCGCAGGGUUCCGGGGAUGUCAAGGCCAGGUAAGGUUCUUCGCGUUGCAUCGAAUUAAACCACAUGCUCCACCGCUUGUGCGGGCCCCCGUCAAUUCAUUUGAGUUUCAACCUUGCGGCCGUACUCCCCAGGCGGAGAACUUAACGCGUUAGCUCCAACACUGAAAGGAUUACCCCUCCAACGUCUAGUUCUCAGCGUUUAGGGCGUGGACUAC
rnacentral:misc_RNA from 1 species